rnacentral:rRNA from 1 species
GGGCCCGCACAAGCAGCGGAGCAUGUGGUUUAAUUCGAAGCAACGCGAAGAACCUUACCAAGGCUUGACAUCCUACUAAAGCUGUGGAAACACAGUGUCCCUUCGGGGGAGUAGAGACAGGUGGUGCAUGGUUGUCGUCAGCUCGUGUCGUGAGAUGUUGGGUUAAGUCCCGCAACGAGCGCAACCCUUAUUGCUAGUUACCAGCGGGUAAAGCCGGGAACUCUAGUGAGACCGCCGGGGAUAACUCGGAGGAAGGUGGGGAUGACGUCAAAUCAUCAUGCCCCUUAUGUCUUGGGCUACACACGUGCUACAAUGGCCACUACAGAGGGCAGCGAGACCGUAAGGUGGAGCAAAUCUCAGAAAAGUGGUCCCAGUUCGGAUUGUGGGCUGCAACCCGCCCACAUGAAGUCGGAGUUGCUAGUAAUCGCGAAUCAGCAUGUCGCGGUGAAUACGUUCCCGGGCCUU